CAUUAUUGAAUAAACUUGAACAAGCUGUUUUUUGUUUGCUGGCUUCUUUGGAGGCAUGUGCACGCUUGUCAUCUUUAUGUUUCCAACUUGUGCACUUAUUGUAGAUCUUGGGAAGUUUGAAUUAUUUUCUAUAGAUUGAGGACUGCUGUGCUUUACAAAAAAGGUCAGCUUUGCCUUGUAUUUCAAGAUCUAUGUUUAUCAUAAACCUGUUAAGAAUGUUAAAAAAGAGUUUAUAAUAAUUUAUACAACUUUCAGCAACGGAUCUCUUGGCUCUCGCAUCGAUGAAGAACGCAGCGAAAUGCGAUAAGUAAUGUGAAUUGCAGAAUUCAGUGAAUCAUCGAAUCUUUGAACGCAUCUUGCGCUUCUUGGUAUUCCGAGGAGCAUGCCUGUUUGAGUGUCAUUAAAUUCUCAACCAUAUUAAAUUCUUUUGAUAUGGCUUGGUUAUUGGAAGCCUGCAGGUCCUUUUUUCUACGGGUCUGCUCUUCUAAAAUGCAUUAGUGGAGUAAAAGCUACUUACAGAUGUGAUAAUUAUUUACAUCUCUAUAGCAGAUCAUGCCGCUACUAACAAAAGUUGAACAUGUAUUAUAUAUUUGACCUCAAAUCAGGUAGGAGUACCCGCUGAACUUA
rnacentral:rRNA from 1 species